rnacentral:misc_RNA from 1 species
CGUAGGUGAACCUGCGGAAGGAUCAUUACAAAUCCUAGCCAUUGCCGUUGGCAAUGGUGAAAACACCGUGCACUGGCGACCGGAGAUGGGAGAAUGGCGUGUGAGGUGUGCAUCCGGCGUUCGAGCGGGUGAUGCACUUAAAUCGGUAGGAAUCAAUGCACCCACCGCCUGCUGGGCCUCGCAAGCUCUCUCUCAUCUUUGGUUUUUUUUACACCUUUGCAACUUGUAUGAUUUUGGUGUGUGCGUACGUUGAAACGAAAUUGACAACUUCUGACGGUGGAUCUCUUGGCUCGUGCAUCGAUGAAGAACGCAGCAAGCUGCGAUACCUAGUGUGAAUUGCAGAAUUCAGUGAAUCAUCGAGUCUUUGAACGCAAAUGGCGCUCCCGGGGUCUCCUCGGGAGCAGGUCUGUCCGAGCGUCUGCCAACCAAACCGGUUGUUCCGCACCGAUUGCGUGACAAGAGUGAGGAGCUGUGGGGCCACACCCUGCACUCCUUGAAAUAUGGGGCAAGCGUGGCUUGGACACCGGACGAGGCCGGUCUCCGGACAGGACAGUCGUCACAACGGUACAAUAAGUUGUUUCGGUGUCUCUGUUCUCGGGACGCGAGGCCUGUCGGUGUACCAAUCGGCCAGCGUCAGGAUACA